rnacentral:rRNA from 1 species
CGCUGGCGGCGUGCCUACACAUGCAAGUCGAGCGAAGCAUUUAGGUUAGCUUGCUAAUCUUUAUGACUGAGCGGCGAACGGGUGAGUAACACGUGGGUAAUCUACCUGAAAGUCUGGGAUAACAGUUCGAAAGGGCUACUAAUACCGGAUGACAUUGAUGAUGUAGAGUCAUCAAUCAAAGCGUUACGGAGCGCUUUCAGAUGAGCCCGCGUCCCAUUAGCUAGUUGGUAAGGUAAAGGCUUACCAAGGCAACGAUGGGUAGCCGGUCUGAGAGGAUGGUCGGCCACACUGGAACUGAGACACGGUCCAGACUCCUACGGGAGGCAGCAGUGGGGAAUAUUGCACAAUGGGCGCAAGCCUGAUGCAGCAACGCCGCGUGAGCGAUGAAGGCCUUCGGGUCGUAAAGCUCUGUCCUAAGGGAAGAUAUAGACGGUACCUUAGGAGGAAGCCCCGGCUAACUACGUGCCAGCAGCCGCGGUAAUACGUAGGGGGCAAGCGUUAUCCGGAAUUACUGGGCGUAAAGGGUGCGUAGGCGGUCUGGUAAGUCAGAGGUGAAAGACUAUUGCUCAACAAUAGCAAGCCUUUGAAACUACCGGACUUGAGUGCAGGAGAGGAGAGUGGAAUUUCUAGUGUAGCGGUGAAAUGCGUAGAUAUUAGAAGGAACACCAGUGGCGAAGGCGACUCUCUGGACUGCAACUGACGCUGAGGCACGAAAGCGUGGGGAGCGAACAGGAUUAGAUACCCUGGUAGUCCACGCCGUAAACGAUGAGUGCUAGGUGUCGGGGG